rnacentral:rRNA from 1 species
UACGAAGGGUGCAAGCGUUAGUCGGAAUUACUGGGCGUAAAGCGUGCGUAGGCGGUCUCUUAAGUCCGUUGUGAAAGCCCUGGGCUCAACCUGGGAACUGCAGUGGAUACUGAGAAGCUAGAGUGUGUCAGAGGAUGGUGGAAUUCCCGGUGUAGCGGUGAAAUGCGUAGAGAUCGGGAGGAACAUCAGUGGCGAAGGCAGCCCCCUGGGUCAAGAUUGACGCUCAUGCACGAAAGCGUGGGGAGCAAACAGG